CGGUGACAGGUGGUGCAUGGUUGUCGUCAGCUCGUGUCGUGAGAUGUUGGGUUAAGUCCCGCAACGAGCGCAACCCUUAUUGUUAGUUGCUACGCAAGAGCACUCUAGCGAGACUGCCGUUGACAAAACGGAGGAAGGUGGGGACGACGUCAAAUCAUCAUGCCCCUUAUGUCCUGGGCCACACACGUACUACAAUGGUGGUCAACAGAGGGAAGCAAUACCGCGAGGUGGAGCAAAUCCCUAAAAGCCAUCCCAGUUCGGAUCGCAGGCUGCAACCCGCCUGCGUGAAGUUGGAAUCGCUAGUAAUCGCGGAUCAGCAUGCCGCGGUGAAUACGUUCCCGGGCCUUGUACACACCGCCCGUCACACCAUGAGAGUCAGGAACACCCGAAGUCCGUAGCCUAACCGCAAGGGGGGCGCGGCCGAAGGUGGGUUCGAUAAUUGAGGUGAAGUCGUAACAAGGUAGCCGUAUCGGAAGGUGCGGCUGGAUCACCUC
rnacentral:rRNA from 1 species